GACGAACGCUGGCGGCGUGCUUAACACAUGCAAGUCGUACGGUAAGGCCCUUUCGGGGGUACACGAGUGGCGAACGGGUGAGUAACACGUGAGUAACCUGCCCACAACUUUGGGAUAACGCUAGGAAACUGGUGCUAAUACUGGAUAUGUGCUCCUGCUGCAUGGUGGGGGUUGGAAAGCUCCGGCGGUUGUGGAUGGACUCGCGGCCUAUCAGCUUGUUGGUGGGGUAGUGGCCUACCAAGGCGGCGACGGGUAGCCGGGCUGAGAGGGUGACCGGCCACAUUGGGACUGAGAUACGGCCCAGACUCCUACGGGAGGCAGCAGUGGGGAAUAUUGCACAAUGGGCGCAAGCCUGAUGCAGCAACGCCGCGUGCGGGAUGACGGCCUUCGGGUUGUAAACCGCUUUCAGCAGGGACGAAGCUUUUUGUGACGGUACCUGCAGAAGAAGCACCGGCUAACUACGUG
rnacentral:rRNA from 1 species